GACGAACGCUGGCGGCGUGCUUAACACAUGCAAGUCGAACGAAGUGGCGAACGGGUGAGUAACGCGUAAUCAACCUGCCCUUCAGAGGGGGAUAACAGUUGGAAACGACUGCUAAUACCGCAUCCUGAUGGGGGGGAUUGCGUGGGAUUAGCUAGUUGGGGGGGUAACGGCCCACCAAGGCGAUGAUCAGUAGCCGGUCUGGGAGGAUGAACGGCCACAUUGGGACUGGGAAACGGCCCAGACUCCUACGGGAGGGAGCAGUGGGGAAUCUUGCGCAAUGGACGAAAGUCUGGCGGCGCAACGCCGCGUGAGUGAUGAAGGCCUUCGGGGUGUAAAGCUCUGUUAAUCGGGACGCGGUACCGGAAGAGAAAGCAACGGCUAACUACGUGCCAGCAGCCGCGGUAAUUC
rnacentral:rRNA from 1 species